rnacentral:rRNA from 1 species
GACGAACGCUGGCGGCGUGCCUAAUACAUGCAAGUCGAACGCAGUGGGGACGGGUGAGUAACACGUGGGUAACCUCCCAUCAGAGGGGAUAACACUUGGAAACAGGUGCUAAACCGAUACUGAUGGAUGGACCCGCGGUGCAUUAGCUAGUUGGUGAGGUAACGGCUCACCAAGGCCACGCUGCAUAGCCGACCUUAGAGGGUGAUGGGCCCAAUUGGGACUGAGACACGGCCCAGCCGCCGACGGGAGGCAGCAGGAGGGAAUCUUCGGCAAUGGACGAAAGUCUGAACGAGCAACGCCGCGUGAGUGAUGAAGUUCUUCGGAUCGUAAAACUCUGUUAUUAGGGAAGCGGUACCUAAUCAGAAAGCCACGACUAACUACGUGCCAGCAGCCGCGGUAUUC